CCUCCUCCGUACCCUGCGAAUGUGAUUCCUGCUUCUCAGAAGGGGGAUCAGACACUGUUCCCUGAAGGAUGCCAGACCAGGGGACACAACCUGAGCUCACCUGGGUGCCUUCCGUGGGAACAUCACCUUAGAAGCUGCUGUGUGGCCUUUGAGGAAAUAGUUGGACUAAAGCUCGGUGAAGGUGAACUCAUCAAAAUAAAUCAUCCCUGGAAAAUUCAACUGCUCAGAUGAGAAUGGCUUGACAGCUCUGGCAUAUGCACUCCAGUCAACAGCUGCAGGGGAGAUGGUUUCUCUUCGAGGCCAGGACUUCAGUUCUGAGAGCAUCAGCUGGCCACUCUCUGUUUCCAUGUCAUAGUGAUACACCUUGACGGCGUCUGACUCCAGAUUGUGGUGCAAUACUGAAGCACAGAAAUGAUGGAGGAGGAAGAGGAGAAAGAAGAGAAGCAACACUUUCUCUUAUGAGAUGCUCCCAGGAAGGCAAAUGAAGGGCUUGACAUUCAACAGACUCUUCCAGUUGGGAGGACCUUUUCCAUAAUCCAAGCCACAGUCCUCCCAGGAGUCAGUAAAUAGUUGGUCCCAUACAGAUCAUCUACAGAGAACAAAUGCCGCCUUGGG